rnacentral:rRNA from 1 species
CAGCCGCCGCGGUAAUACCGGCGGCCCGAGUGGCGGUCACUAUUAUUGGGCUUAAAGCGUCCGUAGCCGGGUUGGGAAGUCCUCCGGGGAAUCUGGCCGCUUAACGGUCAGAAUGCCGGAGGAUACUCCCAGCCUAGGGAGCGGGAGAGGCCGAGGGUAUUCCCGGGGUAGGGGUGAAAUCCUAUAAUCCCGGGAGGACCACCUGUGGCGAAGGCGCUCGGCUGGAACGCGUCCGACGGUGAGGGACGAAGGCCAGGGGAGCAAACCGGAUUAGAUACCCGGGUAGUCCUGGCUGUAAACGAUGCGGACUUUGUGUCGGACAAGCUAUGAGCUUGUCCGGUGCCGGAGGGAAACCGUUAAGUCCGCCGCCUGGGGAGUACGGCCGCAAGGCUGAAACUUAAAGGAAUUGGCGGG